UGGCGGCAGGCCUAACACAUGCAAGUCGAACGAACCGUGCCCUUCGGGGCACUAUGUUAGUGGCGCACGGGUGAGUAACACGUGGGAACGUACCCUUUAGUGCGGAAUAACCAAGGGAAACUUUGACUAAUACCGCAUACGCCCUUCGGGGGAAAGAUUUAUCGCUAAAGGAUCGGCCCGCGCCUGAUUAGGUAGUUGGUGGGGUAAAAGCCUACCAAGCCGACGAUCAGUAGCUGGUCUGAGAGGAUGAUCAGCCACACUGGGACUGAGACACGGCCCAGACUCC
rnacentral:rRNA from 1 species